CUUCAUUCCCGUUUAUGAAUCCCGGAGCUUUAAGAAUGAAGCCGCCAGCAGCGCCAGGGCAUUUCCGUCAAAUCCGAAAAACGUUACGACGAAUCUGUAGGAACUGGAGGACGCAGGACAAUGAAUCGGUCAGAACCAGAACUCAGGUUCCUAACCCUGGUUCUGGUGUACCCUCUCUCCUGCAGGUUAGUGUCUCCUUCAACUGUUAAUUAAACACCAACACGUGCAGGACACAGGAUCCUCCAGGACCGGGGUUCAAAUACACGCUCAAAUACAGUCUUCCUGACCAACACACUUGAUCCAACUCAAUAGCUGAUGAGCAGAAAAUCCUACAGAAUGUGUUGCACAGUUAGCCCCUAGGACUGACAAGUUCUAGAGAGCAAACAGGGAAUAAGUAACAACCUUCAACACCAGUAAACACAAGUAUAUAUUUAUUUAAUGCAAUUUACAAAAGCAAAUGUUUUCUGGCUUUUAAUCAGCUGUAUCCUACAUCCCUUUCUCCAUCAGCCAGGAGUGCAACCCCUGGAAAUGAGUGGACCCAGAACAAGUACACUUCUCCAAUUGUGAUGUACAGAAAGUGCUAUCAGACUACCAAGGUUUUUUUGCGAUGAAUCCUCAAUGUUGACAUUUUAGUGAGCACCAUUGCUGUUCAAAGAGGGGACAAACAUGAUUCCCAAAAUACAAAAAUUACAGUUGUCCUUUAAACAGUUCAAAUACACAUUUUAAUUUUGUAAUUGCUUACAAGUUUAUAAUACAUUAUUCUUUUGAGAGAGUGGACAUUGAAAAUGAGCAUUUCUUUCUACAUGGACAAUUAAGAGCAGAUACUUUUGGUAGCAACUGUGAAUUCACAAUUGAGUACAGCGUACGUUGCCACUUGCAGUAAGUUUUUACAUG